UACGUAGGGCGCAAGCGUUGUCCGGAAUUAUUGGGCGUAAAGGGCUCGUAGGCGGUUUGUCGCGUCGGCUGUGAAAACCCGAGGCUCAACCUCGGGCCUGCAGUCGAUACGGGCAGACUAGAGUGUGGUAGGGGAGACUGGAAUUCCUGGUGUAGCGGUGAAAUGCGCAGAUAUCAGGAGGAACACCGGUGGCGAAGGCGGGUCUCUGGGCCAUAACUGACGCUGAGGAGCGAAAGCGUGGGGAGCGAACAGG
rnacentral:rRNA from 1 species